GACGGAGGAUGCAAGCGUUAUCCGGAAUGAUUGGGCGUAAAGCGUCCGCAGGUGGCAGUUCAAGUCUGCUGUCAAAGACCGGGGCUUAACUUCGGAAAGGCAGUGGAAACUGAACAGCUAGAGUAUGGUAGGGGCAGAGGGAAUUCCCAGUGUAGCGGUGAAAUGCGCAGAUAUUGGGAAGAACACCCGUGGCGAAGGCGGCUCUCUGGAACGCAACUGGACGCUGAGACGCGAAAGCGUGGGGAGCAAACAGGG
rnacentral:rRNA from 1 species